ensembl:lncRNA
GGCAACAUCUGCUAUAUAAUGAGCUAGAGAGGCGGUAAACAGUGACUGGGAAGGUUCUUAGAGGUGGAAGUUUUAUUUGUGUUGCCCAGCGAGUGCGCAGGUAAGUGCGGUGAGGAAAACCAUGGUACAUCCAUACAGAAUAGCGUUCAGCAAUUAAAAAUGUGCUUUCUCAAAAUUAUUCAGCAUAAAGGAAACCACAAUUUAAAAAAGUAAAACAUCUGAGUCUAAUCAUGUAAAAAGUACAAAAUAAUUUACUGUGAGUGUAGAAGUUUAAAAAGGACACACAAAAAAGGAGUUAUAUAGAUUUAUUACCACCCAUGGUUUUGUAUACAUUUUAAAUAUGUGCAGUUUUACAGCAUGUUAAUUAUACCUCAAUAAAGCUUUCCUUAAAAAUCAAAUAGAGGUCUGGGUCCCCUACUUUUUUGCACAAGAGUCCACCAUCCAUCCUUAUGCCUGGGAAAAGGAUGCCCUGCAUCAAAGAGUUUCAAGGUCAUUUCUAUCUGGCUCAGCAACUGGUCAGAAUAGCUACAGACUUAACCACCAGUGGAAUUUUCUAUCCUGUUGCCAUUUUCUCGCCUAUGCAGCAAAUAUCUGUGAGAUGGACUAGAAGUUAAGAUAGACACAGGGCCUCAAUUUCCACAACGACAGGAGGAACAGUGGGGUGGAGUGUAUUAACUGGAACAUCAGUGGAUGCAAGUUUUGUUAGAUGUUUAUGUAUCCUAAGUCCUGCCAUUUUCUUUGUUUCUGUACAAUCAUGGGUUUUCAACCUGGUCCCUAUAGUAGUCUUACAACUAGCCAAUGACACCAGCAAUGAGCUUUACAUGAAGGCACAUGAUUCCUUUGCAGUGCUUGGGAGCAGCUUCCCCACAACAGUGCUCGACAUUGUGUGACAGCCCUGGGAAAGAGGAACCACUCUCACGGGGGCCCUCCAGUGGUCAGAAGAGCAACACCGUGUCCUCCUGGUGCACUGCAAGGAGGUCUAGAAGAAAUUUGCCCACUUGCCCCAUGGGCGUACGGCCUCUGCCUGGUAUGUGCUCCCUGGUGAAGCCAAGUGCAAAAUGUCCCUCAGGACAAAGCUACACACCUCACGGGAGUGGCCUCCAGGGCCCCACACCUGCCUUGGAGUCCGGCACUGUGACAUGCCUACUGAACUCCUCUUCCUCAUGGCCCCCUCUACACCAACCACCUAAAAGGAUCCAAAUGCGGAGGAGUCCACGCUGACUGCAGUCGGAGGGACGGCCCACGCACAAGAAUGUGCUCGGCAAACUCAGGACAAGUCCAGGGAUUGCCUGCAAAACCAGAAUGGGUUCCAGGUGAGGACGGAGCUGCUCCGCUGCAAGGAAGUAGAGCGCAGAAGCCGGGGAAGGGGCCCAAUGGCGAAGGACACGAUGAGAUGUGUGAUGAGCAGGAGAGCAGGGUCUGUAACUGGCUUCUGUGCAAAGAGCUCCGGCAGGCACUUGUUUACCGGGGACCUGUCACCACUGUGAAGAAGCUUACGUCCAGAACCAGGAAAAUCUGACUGCAACAGAGCAUCUCACGGUCAAGUACUAUUUGAAGACACACGCACACCCCUGACAAAACACAGAGCAGUCGAUGCGAGGAAGCACUGCAAAAGGGAACAGCGAGAGAGGUCAGUAAGACAUGGAGUCCAGAAAGGGACAGAUCGGUCCUGCACCGGAUGUGAAAGAGGAAGGGACACGCAGAGCUGACAAGUGGGCCAAGCGUCAAGACUGGGGAAGCAACAGCAGAGAUGAAGAGUGCCCACUGGCACCAAAACACCAACUACAGAACACAGACUCCUGCUGCAAUCUCAACACGGCCCCGGUGUUACACCCUCUCCCAGGCACCUCCUCAAGAUCACGGUCCCCCUGAACCCAUCUUGCUGUGGCUGAACAGCCAUUUGUGAACUGCUUAAAGGUUCUCCACCCUCCCCCCAAGAUGAGCAAGUACAUGGCACCUGUGUCAUGAAGUUACAAAGGGAAAGACCUUACAAAAGAGCACACAGUACAGGGCCACAACUCAGCACGUGACGGACCACAGUGGGGAACAAUGAUUACAGAAACCUUCAGAAGAGUGUCCCGCAAGAAAAGACCAUGGUUCACACAGCCGUAACCGCGUCAGUGUUAGCAAUUCCUGGCCCAGCCGGCAUGGAGAAACAUCAGCUAGAGGAAAGAAGUAGGAGCUGGUGUAUUCUGGUGCCUUGGAUCUGGACAGAGUCACAGGCCUGGAAGAGGGCAAGCGAAGUCAAAUCAACUAGACCCUGUGCUGGGUUGCUCCGGGAGAGGCCAGCGCACGCGCCUCAGCCUCCCCGGCCACAGCAACACCUGGGGUGCCCGAGGCCCUGACACGGGAAGGACAGACGAGCCCCUGGGGAAAAAAGGGAAAAGCAGAGAACAUCUAAGGGUACAGGGGUGGGUGUGAGGGACUUACCCAGGGAGAUUAAAAGUUCGAAGUUUCCAGCAUCACAUCGUGGUAUAAGUGUCUCUGAACCUCAUCAAAGAGACCCAACUCCUGCUGGGACAAGUACAUAGCCACGUCUUCAAAGGUCACAGUGUCCUGUCACGAUGGUGGCAGAUGAAACAACCAACAGUCCCCCUCCUGAGUACCCACAAUCCAUCCUGUACACAUCUACCCAAGCGCGCUCUCCCCCCCAAGCCUCCACCUCAGGGAACACACCAGGCCCUGGGACAGCCCCGUGGGCUCACCAGGCACGAAGUCUGAUCAGCAGCGGCAGGAUGCAGGUGACUAGAUGUCUAAGCUGUGGCCCUGGCUGGCCGAACGCACCCACUUCUGUCAAGUGGCUCCUCCGGCCUGAUAUGAUCUAUUGCAUAAGUCUCAUCCCUAGGGCCCUAGGGCCAUCAGACAUACUCUCUCUCCAAGUAUUCUUUAGAAUGCACAGCCUCACAUUCCUACACUGACAGCACAGGCGUCUCCCUGGUCUCCCUAUAAGUCACUUUUGUUUUAGUUAGUCCUGCUUUAUGCCACUGGUAAGAGCAGAAUUCCUGUCCUAAAUUACGGGGACGGCCAAACACAAAGUACCGGACACUGGACAGAUGCGAUCAACAGCGUUUUAUUACACAUACUCACAGCCGGGAAGGGAGGACACCGCCCGCCUGACAGGGACGAGUGAAUGUUGUGCACUGGAAAAGAGUGAAUGACCAGGGGCUGUGAGACGCAAGUCUUACAAGAUCAAGAGUUGGUGUACCAUCUGGUUCCCACAGGACAAGGUGAACGGCUUGUGGGAAUAACUCCAUGGGCCGGUGGAGAAGUGAAGCUCACCUCAAAGUCAGAAGCAGGCAGUGCUCUGGUCCCCUUGAUGAAAAGGGAUGCCUGGCUAGGAGACUUUACCCAUGAUUACACUCUUGGCCAGGUCAGGGACUUGCGGUUUCAAUGGGUGUCAAGGCAGCACAUAAAAAUGGGCCUUUAUUUUAGGCCAUAACAUAAACUUAGCAGAAAACAUCCAGAGCUGCUUGGCAAAUUCAGAUAGAAACCAUACUAGCCCAGAAUGCCCAGAGAUCCCACUAGAGUUGGAAAAACUUAAUCCUUCUGCAAAGGCCUCCCUACGUGGCUCUGCUCGACGCCUGAGACUCGGCCACACAAAACCAGCUGUGGAUCUCAAUACCAGGGCCCUCUUCCAUUUCUGUGCUAUACAAGCUGGCACCUCAGCAACGACAACCUUCUCUGUCUACCUAACCCUCAUUCAGCACCCAGUCCAUGUAUCACCCGCCCCAGUCCUACUGAUUCUCACAAAUGACCACAUAUUUGCCACUGAUCAAACCCACCAAGCUGAAUGCAACCAAAAUCCUCCACAAAUCGUGGUGAAUCCAUAGAGACGUGAAUAAGCACUCUGGCCCGAGUGGCAUCGUGCCUCAGGUACCCCUACUCUCUACAUCUCUUACAUGUCCACUCUUAUUCUGGAAGCCUUGGCCACCUGCCAGACUAGUCUGUCUGAUACACCCUACCUAGGGAGCCACAUACCUCCCUCGCCUGCACUUAAGAAUUCCAAUACCAUCACUCAGGUCCCAAGCAAGAGACCUAGUGCUCAGCCCCUACCCUCCACCUCCUGGCCCAUAAACAGCUUCAUGACCAUCAACAUGAAGAUUUUAUCUCCUAAAUGUAACCACAGUUUCCUUACUUGGGCCCACACAGUAACUACCACCUUUUGAAUGUCUCCAAUUUGAACCGCUCUUUUGAUUUCCCAACUUGUGUUUCUAGAUGCCAAUUGGACGCCUCCACUAAGGGGUGUCUGAAAAUACCUCAGAUUCUUAACAUGGCCAAAACAAAGCUCCUGAUAGUCCCAGUGAAUAUUAUUCCUGCUACCAACUUCAUCUCAGUUGGAACUUCCAUCCCUACAGCUGCAAAGAUCAAACACCUUGGGUGAUCCCUGAUACCUCCGUUUGCCUUGCUUAACACCCACAUUAGAAAAUCUAGUUUCCCCUUUUUAAAACUUGCAUCCCAUGGUUGCAUCCCCAGAAAUGCAACUUCCCUAAACCCAGCCCUGAUCCAUUAACACUCACCUAGACUAUGGUAGUAGCUUCCACCCUGGUUUUCAUUGCUCCUCUCUCAUUCCCAUGGUCUGUUCUCCACUUUACAGUCAGAAGGAGACUGUUUCCGCCUAGCUAAAAUUACCUCUCUCCUCUGGCCCAAACCUCUUGGUACCUCCAGAAUAGACACCCAACUUUUCAGGCAGUCAUUCCUGUCCUGACACCUGCUCUUUGUUCAUAUCAGAAAAGGAGACCCAUGGCUCCUGAAGAGCCCGACUCAGCUUUACCUUUAUGUGUUUGCACUUCCUGGUACCUGGUCCUGGGUUAACUCUACACACUUGUUCACGUUGGUCAGAACCCUGAGAUGGGAUUCCUCUAGUGUCCCCAGACCCAAAGAUAUAACCCCUGACAUGGGGAUUUCUCUAGGGUCUCCGGACCUGAGCACUGGGAAAACGGCACAUAAGAGUCCCAGGACACCACAAUCCAGAGAACGUCUGAGUGGCGGUGAGCGCCAGAAAGGGAUUAGGGCCCCCUCUACAUACCUGUGUUGGCUCCGGCGGUACUUCUGCGGUCCUGGUACUCUGCGGGGAAAGGGAGGUCUUCUGCUACGGUGGUGGAAGAGGUUGCUGGGCUCCUGCUCCAUCUCUACCCUCCCCAGGUCCUGGAGCCGAGUGACCUCAGGCUGGCUGUCUAACCACUGGGCGUCAGGGCUCGCUAUGGCACUUUUACCAACUGUGUGACCUUGCACAAAGAUCCCACCUCCCAGUGCCUCAACGAACUCCCCAUCUUCCUUGAAUCUGCUCUUCCCUUGAACUCCUUGGGGGAGUCACAACCCUAAGGGAGAUCGUGUCCCUCCUUUGGCCAGAACUCUCCUUGGCGUCUAGAGUCCUCAUAGGAAGGGACAACCCUCCAGCCCGCCAGUCCCCCCGCGACUCCGCCGCACACCCUCUGUUCCC